GGUGUAGAUGAGGCUGGGUGUAGUCAGGCUAUAGAUGGUGGUGUAGAUGAGGCUGGGUGUAGGCAUGUUAUAGAUGGUGGUGUAGAUGAGGCUGGGUGUAGUCAGGCUAUAGAUGGUGGUGUAGAUGAGGCUGGGUGUAGUCAUGUUAUAGAUGGUGGUGUAGAUGAGGCUGGGUCUAGUCAUGUUAUAGAUGAUGGUGUAGGUGAGGUUGUGUCUAGUCAGGCUAUAGAUGGGGGUGUAGAUGAGGCUGUGUCUAGUCAGGUUAUAGAUGGUGGUGUAGAUGAGGCUGUGUCUAGUCAGGUUAUAGAUGGUGGUGUAGAUGAGGCUGGGUGUAGUCAUGUUAUAGAUGGUGGUGUAGAUGAGGCUGGGUCUAGUCAUGUUACUUCCGGUGCCGACAGAGAUGGCCGCCUCGC
ensembl:lncRNA